UGUCUCUGUGCUGCAUUUGCCUGAUGCUUUCUCAGUAUUAGACUAAAUUUAUGCCCUUUUGCAAGAACAUCACAGAAGUGAUAUUUUGCCCUUUUCAGUCAUCAUGAGGUGACUGUAAUUGGAGAAAGGACCUGUAAGGAGAUAAUUAAGGUCAAAUUAAUCUAUAAAGAGGACUGGCCAAGUAAGGACACAGCUGAGAAAGCAGCCUGCAAGCCAUUAAAGAAGACCUCACUAGAAAACAACACUGGCACCUUAAUCUUGGACUUCCAGACUCUGCAAAGGUGAGAAAAUAAAUUUCAGUUGUUAAAGCCACCCUUUCUAUGGUAUUUUGUUAUGGCUGCUCAAGCAGACUAAUAUAUUCUAUUUAAAUAUUUAAAGUAUAUUUCCUAUAGAUAGCAUAUAGUUGGGUCUUGCUUCUUUGGAAAAACAUAAUCUUAAAAUCUCCGUCUAUGAAUGGAGUGUUUAGGUUAUUUAUAUUUAAUAUUGAUAUUAAUAUUGUUGGGUUUAUAUACUGUUAGGUUGUUUUGCAUUUGCCCGUCAUCUUUAUUUUUGCCAUUUGUCUAAGUGUUAUUUUUUACCACCUUUUAGUAUUCUAUCUAAUCUCUUCUCUUGGCUUAUUUACUCUUUGAUAUGGUUUGGCUGUGUCCCCACCCAAAUCUCACCUUGAAUUCCCACGUGUUGUGGGAGGCACUAGGUGGGAAGUAAUUGUAUCAUGGGGGUAAGUGUUUCCCAUACCGUUCUUGUGAUAGAGAAUAAGUUUCAUGAGAUCUGAUGGUUUUCAAAGGAGCAUUUCUCUGCACAAGCUCUCUUCUCUUGUCUGCUGCCAUGUAAGACUUGCAUUUUACCCUGCACCAUGAUUGUGAGGCCUCCCCAGCCAUGUGGAACUGUAAGUCCAUUAAACCUCUCUCUUUUGUAAAUUGCCCAGUUUCAGGUAUAUCUUUAUCAGCAGUGUGAAAACAGACUAACACAGUCUUCCUUUUUUGUUUUAUUUAUUUUUAAGUGGUGGCUCUACAAUUUACUUUAUGCAUUUUUGUCCUUUUCACAGCCUGUCUUCAAAUUCAAUUAUAUCACUUCAUGUAUAAUGUAAUUACCAUGGUAUGCUAUAUUUUCCUUUGCCCUUCCCAUCAUUGGUGCUGAUUUUAUUGUACAUCUUCCUUCUAUGUAUGUUACAAAUCUCAAUAUAUUGUUACUUUUUUUGUUUUU
rnacentral:lncRNA from 1 species